rnacentral:rRNA from 1 species
GAUGAACGCUGGCGGCGUGCCUAAUACAUGCAAGUCGAGCGAACGGACGAGAAGCUUGCUUCUCUGAUGUUAGCGGCGGACGGGUGAGUAACACGUGGAUAACCUACCUAUAAGACUGGGAUAACUUCGGGAAACCGGAGCUAAUACCGGAUAAUAUUUUGAACCGCAUGGUUCUAAAGUGAAAGACGGUCUUGCUGUCACUUAUAGAUGGAUCCGCGCUGCAUUAGCUAGUUGGUAAGGUAACGGCUUACCAAGGCAACGAUGCAUAGCCGACCUGAGAGGGUGAUCGGCCACACUGGAACUGAGACACGGUCCAGACUCCUACGGGAGGCAGCAGUAGGGAAUCUUCCGCGAUGGGCGAAAGCCUGACGGAGCAACGCCGCGUGAGUGAUGAAGGUCUUCGGAUCGUAAAACUCUGUUAUUAGGGAAGAACAUAUGUGUAAGUAACUGUGCACAUCUUGACGGUACCUAAUCAGAAAGCCACGGCUAACUACGUG